rnacentral:rRNA from 1 species
GACAGAGGGUGCACACGUUGUUCGGAAUUACUGGGCGUAAAGCGUGUGUAGGCGGCUAGGUAAGUCGGAUGUGAAAGCCCCGGGCUCAACUCGGGAAGUGCACUCGAUACUGCUUAGCUCGAGUACCGGAGAGGUUGGUGGAAUUCUCGGUGUAGAGGUGAAAUUCGUAGAUAUCGAGAGGAACACCGGUGGCGAAGGCGGCCAACUGGACGAGUACUGACGCUGAGACACGAAAGCGUGGGGAGCAAACAGG